rnacentral:rRNA from 1 species
UACGUAGGGUGCAAGCGUUGCCCGGAUUUAUUGGGCGUAAAGGGCGCGUAGGCGGCUCGGCACGUCCGUUGUGAAAUCGCCCGGCUCAACUGGGCGGGGUCAGCGGAUACGGUCGAGCUUGAGCAAGCUAGGGGGCAAUGGAAUUCCCGGUGUAGUGGUGGAAUGCGUAGAUAUCGGGAGGAACAUCAGUGGCGAAGGCGGUUGCCUGGGGCGGUACUGACGCUGAGACGCGAAAGCGUGGGGAGCGAACAGG